GACGAACGCUGGCGGCGUGCUUAACACAUGCAAGUCGAACGGAAAGGCCCUGCUUUUGUGGGGUGCUCGAGUGGCGAACGGGUGAGUAACACGUGAGUAACCUGCCCUUGACUUUGGGAUAACUUCAGGAAACUGGGGCUAAUACCGGAUAGGAGCUCCUGCUGCAUGGUGGGGGUUGGAAAGUUUCGGCGGUUGGGGAUGGACUCGCGGCUUAUCAGCUUGUUGGUGGGGUAGUGGCUUACCAAGGCUUUGACGGGUAGCCGGCCUGAGAGGGUGACCGGCCACAUUGGGACUGAGAUACGGCCCGGACUCCUACGGGAGGCAGCAGUGGGGAAUAUUGCGCAAUGGGCGGAAGCCUGAUGCAGCAACGCCGCGUGCGGGAUGACGGCCUUCGGGUUGUAAACCGCUUUCGCCUGUGACGAAGCGUGAGUGACGGUAAUGGGUAAAGAAGCACCGGCUAACUACGUG
rnacentral:rRNA from 1 species